rnacentral:rRNA from 1 species
AGAGUUUGAUCCUGGCUCAGAACGAACGCUGGCGGCAUGGAUUAGGCAUGCAAGUCGAACGAUGAAACAGAAGCUUGCUUCUGUGAAUUAGUGGCGAAAGGGUGAGUAACGCGUGAACAAUUUGCCCCUAAGCUCGGGAUAGCCUCGGGAAACUGGGAUUAAUACCGAAUGUGGUCUUCUGUCGCAUGACAGAUACACUAAAGAUUUAUCACUUAGGGAUGAGUUCGCGUUCUAUUAGCUUGUUGGUGGGGUAACGGCCUACCAAGGCGACGAUAGAUAGCUGGUCUGAGAGGAUGAUCAGCCACACUGGGACUGAGACACUGCCCAGACUCCUACGGGAGGCUGCAGUCGAGAGUCUUCCGCAAUGGACGAAAGUCUGACGGAGCAAUGCCGCGUGCAGGAUGAAGGCCCUUGGGUCGUAAACUGCUGUCACCAGGGAAGAACAUAAUGACGGUACCUGGAGAGGAAGCACCGGCUAACUACGUGCCAGCAGCCGCGGUAAUACGUAGGGUGCAAGCGUUGUUCGGAUUUAUUGGGCGUAAAGGGUUCGCAGGGGGUUUGUUAAGUCUGAUGUGAAAUCUCACGGCUCAACCGUGAAACUGCAUUGGAAACUGAUGAACUAGAGUACUGGAGAGGUAAGUGGAAUUCCUGGUGGAGCGGUGGAAUGCGUAGAUAUCAGGAGGAACACCAAGAGCGAAGGCAACUUACUGGACAGUUACUGACCCUCAGGAACGAAAGCAUGGGUAGCAAACAGGAUUAGAUACCCUGGUAGUCCAUGCCGUAAACGUUGUAUACUAGGUGUGGGAGGAUUUAUCCCCUUCCGUGCCCAAGCUAACGCGAUAAGUAUACCGCCUGGGGACUACGGCCGCAAGGCUAAAACUCAAAGGAAUUGACGGGGACCCGCACAAGCGGUGGAGCAUGUGGCUUAAUUCGAGGCAACGCGAAGAACCUUACCUGGGUUUGACAUAUAUCGGACCGCCCUAGAGAUAGGGCUUUUCUUCGGAACUGAUAUACAGGUGCUGCAUGGCUGUCGUCAGCUCGUGUCGUGAGAUGUUCGGUUAAGUCCGGCAACGAGCGCAACCCAUGUCGUUAUUUGCAAACAGUUCGGCUGUGCACUAUAGCGAGACUGCCCGUGUCAAGCGGGAGGAAGGCGUGGACGACGUCAAGUCCGUAUGGCCUUUAUGCCCAGGGCUGCACACGUGCUACAAUGGUUGGAACAAUGGGAUGCAAUGUCGCGAGGCGGAGCAAAUCCUCAACACCAGCCCCAGUUCGGAUUGGAGUCUGCAACUCGACUCCAUGAAGUCGGAAUCGCUAGUAAAGGCGUAUCAGCAAUGACGCCUUGAAUACGCUCCCGGGUCUUGUACACACCGCCCGUCACAUCACGGAAGCUGAUUGCACCCGAAGUCGUUGACCCAACUCUUUACUGAGAGGGAGACGCCGAAGGUGUGGUUGGUAACUGGGAUGAAGUCGUAACAAGGUA